UUCGCGGAAUGUCGGCGGGCAUAUUGAAUUCGCAGUGUAGCAUCCCUUCAGUUUGUUUAUUUGGUUUGGUGUGUAUUUUCUUCUUUUUUGUGGGAUUGGAGCUUGUAAUAAUAAUUGCUGUGUUUAAGUAGUUUGUUUUGGAUGUAAUUGUAUUUUUUUGUAUUUUGUUUCUUUAACAGAAUGGGGCACUGAUUUGCGGGGUAAACUGUUCUUUAAAGGUGUUCAAGGUGGAUUUACUGGUCGAAAAUUUUAAGGAUCUAGAUUUAAACCUUCCUGGGGGGGCAUUUUCUGUAUAUCGCUUAAAUCAUCCGAGAUCAGAUGCCUCAUCCUGGAUGAGUUAAUGCCGGUGAAAUUCAUCCGGGAUAAGUCGGUUUUUCAAACCCAGCUGUGUAGUAGAUUAGUCUAGCUGGAUCCAUUCAUCCGAGAUGACUGCUUGAAAAGCAAUUUAUAUUGAGUCUGGAAAACAUGAUCAGCGAGUCUUUGAUAGCCUGCAACAAAAUGACGAAAGAAAGGGCGCAUUUUUUCACACAAGCAGAGCAGGACCUUUUAUUAGAAGGAUACGAAGAAUUUCAAGAAUUAAUAUGCAAAAGGGGCAACACGGCAAAAGCAGCCCAAACCAGAAAAGACGGCUGGCAAAAAGUGGCCGACAAAUUAAACGCAUCAAACGUAAGCACAAUGAGAACAUGGGAACAGGUUAAAGUGAAGUACAAGAAUAUACUUCAAACUGCUAAUAAAAAGAAGGCAGACAAGAAAAAAACAGGUGGGGGUCCAGACCUAACCCCCACAGAACAGUUGGCUCUCCAGCAAAAUGCCCAUCGCCCUCUUUCUGAGCGCAUUCCAGAAGGAUGCUCCUCCUCAGAACCAGUAGCAAGAUGCAGUGGUCACUUAAUUUCAGCUGCAGGGAAGGUCUCAUCCCUCGAACCUGUGCCUGACCAACGAGAUGUUGACCAAGGUCAAAUAUUUGAAGACAACGUGUCUAAUUAUUCCUCAGGAGGAGAGGAAGCCGUAGCCAGCACACGUGUCCCUUCUGGAACGAAGACCACAUCAAAAAAAGGAGAUGUUGAGAAAAAUGUGAGGGUUCUAUACAAGAGAUAUCUUCAACAGAAAAUCGCAUACAGAAAACUAAAAAUGAGAAAAAUACAGCAGGAUAUGGAACUUGAUGAACUGAGGGCAACCAAAAUGAAGUUGCAGAUACAAGUACUAGAAAAACAAUUGGUAACAUGAUUCUCAUCUCUUUCCUAUAUGUGUAUGUGUAUGCGUGAGUGUGUCCUUAUUUUCUCCUCCUUACAGGCUGAAGGGCGGUAAUGUACAAUAAAUUUUUGUGUGAAACCACUGUUGUCUUUUUCAAAUGUUGGGCCACAAUUCAGUCUCUGGCAGCUCUGCCACUGGAUUGGUGUAGAUGCACUGGCUCAAGGUCCUCAGGCUGCACCAAAACCUCUCUUUCUGAUGGUGGCUAUGUUGUGUAAGACAGAGCAAAGCAACAACUAUGCCACAUGCUUUGUCGGGUGCAACCCUCAGCCAGUUUAGACACUGGAAUCUCUCCUUUAGGUGGCCAAAGGUAAUUUCAAUUCAUGCCCUUGUCCUAGACAGAACUGCAUUAUAUUGGGUUUGUGGGCCAGGGUUCGGGUUGGGGAAUGAGGUCCUUUAAAAACUGUCUGUAGACGUACCUCUGUCUCCAAACAGGAUCCCAUCACGAUGACCUGUGGAAUAUAUAACAACUGUGAAUACAAUGCACACAUCACCAUGAUUUAUAAUUGGAGUAUGUCCUUGUUCAAAUGUCUGAUACACUUGUGACUUCUUAAUCAUGAACAAACCGUGGCCAUUUAGCCUCCACAUUUGAUACGAGGUGUCCAGGAAACACUGAAAACCCGAAGGCAAUAUUUUAGCGCCAGACUUUACGAAUUGCCCGGCGAACUGCACUUUUAGAUUUCUACAUCGCCUAUAGUAUACAAAAAAAGUGCCUCUUGUUGUCUUGUCCAGAGUCAAUUUGGGCUGUAGCUCCAGCAGAGGUCCUCAUAGGAGGCACAAGCCGUCACUCCUCUCCACACAUCCAUGUUGCCCCUCAGGUGUGCUGUUGAAAGUUGCACAGAGACACGGUCCACAUGAGCAAAUAAUCCAUAGAAUCAGAACGCAAAGACAAGUAAGACAACAUUUAAAAAACAUUUAAACAAGCACAAACGGGGCCUACUGAUCAUGUCAUCCACUCAGGCUUUAGCUGGAACUAAAAAUGAGGUGCCACAAUCCAUCUACAACCAAUGAGGUGCCACAAUCCACCGACAACCAAUGAGGUUCCACAAUCCACCUACAACCAAUGAGGUUCCACAAUCCACCUACAACCAAUGAGCUACUGAUUUUUUUCUGGACAAUUUUUGCACUAAAAAUCUGGCGCAUUUUUCACUUUGUUUACAUUGCAUUGCAUGUUAUGUUACCAUGUCUGUGUAUUCACUGAUAAUUAUAAAUGUAUUUGCAUUGUGUUACUGUAUAUGUACCUUAAUUUUAUAUUUGCACUUUGAUCUGUACUUCUAAUCUGUGUCUUGUGUUAAAUUGUGUUUAGCAGAAGGACACAUAGAAUAAAAAUUCCAGUGUAUAGUGGAACUGACCAUUUACUGUGCAUAUGACAAGUUAACUCUUCAAUUUAAACCAACUGGUGGCCAUCCGAAUGUUGUGAUGUUUUUGGUGGAACUUCAGUUUUGCAAACAGACUGUGAAUAGGGUUAGGUGGGUCGUGUUUCUGUAGCGGCCAUUGGAAAUAGGCUGUACUGAAGGAACAAUAAAGCCAAUGAUGCACUG